CUCGAGCGGCAAUGUUCUCCGCGUUCUCGAACUCGGACCUCAGAUCUUGGACUCCCGAAAGCCCAGUGAAAUCUAUGUAUAUCUAUGCAACAUCAACUGAGGCAUAGUCGAAAUCGGUACUUCGCACAAUCUAGCUCGAGUCGGUUCGAGUUGCUCAUCAAUUAAAAUUCCAUAUUAGUAUGCACGAAAAUAUAUAUGUUUUGAGAUCGACGACUACUGGUCAAUUCUCCGUUCGGGGUUAAGACCCUACCCAAGGCGCGAUAAUCGCAAUCAAAGUUCUCGUCGCCGAGCGGCCACCACAGCAACAUCCACAGCAACAACAUCAGCGAUGAGACUUUCCGGCGAGUGGGGAUCUCUAUCUCACACCCACUCCCUUGCUUGGAAUCACCAGAAAGCUAAAUGACUGAAGUAUUUGACACCCAUUAUUCAGGGACAUGCUUACGUUAUGGAACCAGGACAUCUUGUACGGCUUCGGGUUCGCCAGCACAAUGCACUCGAAGUACGCAUCAUCGCCCUCCUUGAUGUCGUCGGGAUUCAGCGAGGAGCCAAUCUUGAGCGUGGUGGUCGGCUGGUCUGUGGACACAUGGGAGAAACGAUUUUUUUGCAAUUAGACUCUACCCGCUCUUAGAAUUUGCCGCAUCUUUUGCUUACAAUGGACAAUGAGUCGCCAUUUGUCCUCGAUGGCGCUGCCGUCGAUGAAUUGAUUUUCUGCCCGACAUGUUAAAUAUUUGCCAUCGUCCUCGCGUCCGGGCGUAAACGUCAGUAUACUUAGAGAUUGAUUAUCGGGUUCAUUAAACUAAAAAAGAAACGCAAACAGAGUCCAUUAGGAAAUGAAUAAUGAAACGGAAGCGGACCGAAAGUAACCGAACGGAACGCAACGGAACGGAAAGUGAGAAAAGUAAAGAAAAUCGUGCCAAGGCCACGGCGAAACCCGGCGAAAAUGGAAAGGAAAUUUGUGGCAAUUAUAAGCGACGCACACACUACACAAUAUUAAUUUGUGUUUAAUUAAUGAGUUUGGGACUGAGCGCCUUCACGAGUCAUUUACGAGUCGGGGCUUACAUUCUUGGUUAGCUUCUUUAGCUGCUUGCUGCCUUUCCACCAGGUGAUGAGCGCCGGCGGCUUCGAUCCGGAACUCUUGCACUCCACGUCAUAGGUGCGAUCUGCAGACACGAAUCGAUCCUUGAUGGGUUCGCCAUCGCCCUCGCGGAACCACAGGACCAUAUAGACGGCGUCGUCCCGCUCCUGCGGCGAAAUAUCGCAGGGCAGCAUCGCCUGUCGUCCAAGGACACCCUGCACAGUGGUGAGUGGAACCGGUCGGUCCAGAUUCUGCAUGAGUUCAUCCUGUUCUACGUAUGUACUGCACACCUGGCUGAUCCCAGACAGCAUGAGCAGGGGAAGGAGCAACUGCCUCCAGACAUUCGGACUGGGGAAUGGAUGGGGCGCAGUGGGCUUUUUCCGACAGCAGGGCUCCCGAUCCUCCAGCUCCUCCCUUUCAAUCAGUCGGCAAACUACUUGGUAUGUCUCCUCGUGAUGCAUGAUUUUCGCUUUCUCGUUUACUCAAACUAAUCGCUUGCUAAGACUCCCUUCUUUGACCUUUAUCAUAGCCUUUGAUAGAUUAUCGCAGUUUCAUCCAUGAUGCGAAGUUUGUGGGCGAGCAAGGGGAUUCGUUGUCCUUCAGCUGCACAAUGCAAUAAUUCAAGUCAUAAGUUAUUUUACUAAUAGAUGAAAAUCACAUGCUUAUUCAUUUUCUAAUAACAUUAGUUGAUAUGAAUAAAUUUAGUGGCUUGAGUACAUAUAUCGCGCACUAUUUAGGUUUUCAUAUUAAUCAUUAUUAUUUAUUUUUUUUUUGCUAGCAAUAAAAAAAUUUUACUUUAACAAUUAUUUAAAAAAUUCCAAGCUGUCACUAAUGAAUGUAAUAAAGUUAGAAAACCAAUAAAAUG
ensembl:ncRNA asRNA:CR17025 antisense RNA:CR17025